rnacentral:rRNA from 1 species
GAAAAGUCGUGGCCAGCGGGGGGGGGAAGUGGUAGGGGGCAAGCGUGGUCCGGGAGUGUGGGGCGGAAAGAGACGGUAGGCGGUCGAGCGCGGUGGCUUUGAAAACUCGGGGCUCAAACCCGAGCCUGCAGUCGAGACGGGCAGAGUAGAGUGCGGUAGGGGAGACUGGAAUUCCGGGUGUAGCGGGGAAAUGCGCAGAUAUCAGGAGGAACACCGGUGGCGAAGGCGGGUCUCUGGGCCGUAACUGACGCUGAGGAGCGAAAGCGUGGGGAGCAAACAGGAUUAGAUACCCUGGUAGUC